GAUGAACGCUGGCGGCGUGCCUAAUACAUGCAAGUCGAGCGAACAGAUGAGGAGCUUGCUCCUCUGACGUUAGCGGCGGACGGGUGAGUAACACGUGGAUAACCUACCUAUAAGACUGGGAUAACUUCGGGAAACCGGAGCUAAUACCGGAUAAUAUAUUGAACCGCAUGGUUCAAUAGUGAAAGACGGUUUUGCUGUCACUUGUAGAUGGAUCCGCGCCGCAUUAGCUAGUUGGUAAGGUAACGGCUUACCAAGGCAACGAUGCGUAGCCGACCUGAGAGGGUGAUCGGCCACACUGGAACUGAGACACGGUCCAGACUCCUACGGGAGGCAGCAAUAGGGAAUCUUCCGCAAUGGGCGAAAGCCCGACGGAGCAACGCCGCGUGAGUGAUGAAGGUCUUCGGAUCGUAAAACUCUGUUAUUAGGGAAGAACAAAUGUGUAAGUAACUAUGCACGUCUUGACGGUACCUAAUCAGAAAGCCACGGCUAACUACGUG
rnacentral:rRNA from 1 species